UGGUGUUGGAGAGAGUUGUGCGGCUGACUCCUGCGUCGUGCUCUGCCUGGCCCCUGCGCCAUGCCGCGUCUCGUCUAAGGCAGCAGGAGCGUGCGGUGUGGGUGCCCCCAAACCAUAGGUCUCCUCGCUCCUCCCUUCCUCCCCCUCCCCCCGGCAGCCCGAGGAGCUCUGCCAUCGAUGAGAUCCAGCGCCUCCCAAGGUCCUUAUCCACCACAGCUCGCGAGGAAGCUGCGGGAGGAGAUCAACCGGGCAUUCGCCGGCCGGAGAAGGAGGAGAGGCGCAGAUGCCAGCCAGGAAGGUGGAUCGGUUCGCCUCCGCUGUGCCGUGAGCACCGCCGCCGCCUUUGCAUCCACCUUGCUCCGCGUAGCAGCAUGUGUGCGGAAGCAUGGACAGGUGACCACGAGUAGAUGGCGUCGGCGGCAACAGCAACACGCACGGUGUGAUGGGCGCGGCCUGCCCGCAGGCAUUCUAGGCUUGCGUGCCCGAUGGCUCGGAACGCGCGCGCCCGGCGCACAGGAGGUAUAUGCCUUGGAGCACGCCGGCGGCAACGUGCACCGCGAGGUCCCGGAGCAGCCCGGCCAGUACAGAGCCCCUCCGUAUUGGACGGACCCUGCGACUCCAUCCUCGCCUCCACUCACAGGUCUAUGCCGAUUUCCACAACAACACUGCCUUCAACUUUCUCAUUUCCCCGGCUCUGCAUACAAGGUGCAAACUAGGUAUGCCAUCUUGUUAUCGCUUGUUCAGUCGCUUUCUGGUUUAUUCCCUUUCACCUACAUAUGGUGAGGCAGUCUGUGGAAUUUAGGGGCUGGUUUGAACCAAUUACAAUGAUGUAGUGGUGCGGAUCAUUUCAGUCACCGACUUUAUAUUGUGGUCAGCUUGUUUGUCUUCUUGCUCAUGCAUUCUAAUACAUGAUGUCCUGAUGAUUUGUGAAGUUCUGUGUAUCACGUGAUCAGCUGCACAUCAGGUAGCAUGGCAGCUUGAUUGUUGCUUUUAGGAUGUACAUGUACCCAGGUGGAUCAAAUACAGAUAGCGAUCAUAUAUUUUUGUUUACUCGUGUGUUUUUCAUGUGUCUGCCAAGAAUUUCGACAAAUUGAUUAUAUCAUUCAGAUGUAUUCAGGCCAGGUUUCUAUGAUCCAAAAAAAUCAUGUGGCACUGGCUUUCUUGUUACAUACAAAACUAAAUGUGGACAAGUAUAUAUGUCAUUUUUUGGUAACUGACAAAAGUUUAUCUGGCACUGACUAUUGCGAUGCAUCUUUCUACGUGUGUGUAUUUAUUUGCAUUAUCAAUAUUUUCCUCCAAAUCAUUUGUUGGUCAUAAAUUAUUUUGCAUUAUUGAUGAUUAAUUUGCAAUUGAAAUGACAACAGGGCCGGGUUUUAUAAGUGUAAUGGGUUCAAGUGUGACCUUCCAGUCAAAAAAUGUCCUCAGCAAGAAGCUUAUGUGAAGAUCCCUUUUCUACUUUGAAUGAACUUACUGUAUAUAUCUCUUAUUUAGUUUAGUUCAUCAUUCAGAGAUGCAUGGUGGAAUAUUUUUGUCCUUCACAGGUUAAAUGAGCAUUGCGUAAAAGUCUGUCCAAGUCUCUUUCUUAUUCUUCUAUAAACUGGAAGGCAAAUAUAGAUUUCUCAUGCAUAGUUUAUCAAUCAUGAUCUCACCUCCUUUCUAUAUGCAGACAGUGUGGUACUCACUGGGGAUGCUUGCAGAUUGGUAGUGGAUGUGUGCAGUGAUGGAGGGUUAUGUCCCUAUGGGUGACAGGCAUGGUGAUGUUCACCACUGGUAUGGAGAGAAUAGGGAAAAAGAUAACUUCCCUUGAGCUAUGAAAUGUGAUGAAUCAACAAGUGUUCUCCAAAAGGCUGAAGGUGAAUAUCAAGGCCAUCGCCCUUUGAUGAUGCACACCCAUGGUUUGUUCACCAUAAUGCAAUGAUAAGAUGUUCUCGAUGGUAGAACAAAAGAAGUGGAACAAAUGGGUUUAACUUGUAUGCCUACUCCUGUUGCGAUAAGCAUUUGGUUUCCAUCUACAAGACAAGUUUCUGCUUGUGUAACGACAAUACUGUCUGGGUCGUCCAGUUUUUAGCUAUCAUCUGUUCCAGGAUCAUCCUGACCAUUGGGUUCCUCAUGUUCUCCUUGGUGGUUCUGUACAUUGUCUUAAGACGCAUUGGCCUGUUGAUACUGCAAAUGAAGCUGGUUGAUGCUAGAGAUCAGGCUCAGUAUCAGCUGAAGACAUCUUGGAAAAAGUACAGGAGGGACCUGCUCAAACAAAUGCUCCUCCCAUCUAUGAUGAACUGUGAUUUUACUUUCAUCCAUUGUUUAUACAUGAGCUUACAUCCAGAAGCAAGCUUACCUCUUAGAGUUCUUAUUUCUUAGUACAUGUUGUCUAAAGUAAAAUUUUCCCAAAAAGGCUAUUACUGGUGUGUUAACCUACUGCUGGAAUUGAGCUGAAAUUGAAGUAUGCUUUAUAUUGUAUCCAUCAAGCAUAAAAAGUCAGUAGUCAAACUACAUUCA